GACGAACGCUGGCGGCGUGCUUAACACAUGCAAGUCGAACGAAGAGCGACGGAAGCUUGCUUCUAUCAAUCUUAGUGGCGAACGGGUGAGUAACGCGUAAUCAACCUGCCCUUCAGAGGGGGACAACAGUUGGAAACGACUGCUAAUACCGCAUACGAUCUAACCUCGGCAUCGAGGAUAGAUGAAAGGUGGCCUCUACAUGUAAGCUAUCACUGAAGGAGGGGAUUGCGUCUGAUUAGCUAGUUGGAGGGGUAAAGGCCCACCAAGGCGAUGAUCAGUAGCCGGUCUGAGAGGAUGAACGGCCACAUUGGGACUGAGACACGGCCCAGACUCCUACGGGAGGCAGCAGUGGGGAAACUUCCGCAAUGGACGAAAGUCUGACGGAGCAACGCCGCGUGAGUGAUGACGGCCUUCGGGUUGUAAAGCUCUGUUAAUCGGGACGAAAGGCCUUCUUGCGAAUAGUGAGAAGGAUUGACGGUACCGGAAUAGAAAGCCACGGCUAACUACGUG
rnacentral:rRNA from 1 species